CGCAUCCUUAAGCCGGCAUUUCCUGUUCGUCAUCUUGGAGUAUCGACUUGGGAUUUCGUGUGGUUGCGCGUCGUCCAGAAGAGUUUCUUCAGAGAGCGAAGCUGGUCCAACCAUGGUGAAGAUCUUCAUAGGAAACCUGUCUCAGGACGCUGAGAAGGACGAGCUUGAGACUCUAUUCGCUAAGUACGGCACAGUGACGGAAUGCGCCAAAUACAAAAACUAUGCGUUUGUCCAUAUGGAGGACCGGAAGGCUGCCACCAAAGCCAUCCGGGAGCUCCAUCUUUAUAAGUGUCACGGCAGACCCAUCAAUGUGGAGCUCAGCAGAGGGAAGAAUCAAGUCCCAGUGAAGCUCCACAUUGCUAACGUAGAAAAGGGAUCUGAGGAAGAGCUCCGUGCACUCUUCGAAGAGUAUGGCAUCGUCACGGAGUGCUCCAUUGUAAAAGACUUUGCCUUUGUCCACAUGGGAAGCUAUGAUGAGGCUAUGGAUGCCAUAAAAGGCCUAGAUGACACUGAGUUUAAAGGAAAGCGCAUACAUGUUCAAAUAUCUAAAAGCAGACCUAGAGGGGUUCCUGACAUGGAGCCCUAUCCACCUCCACCAGGCAGAGGGGGCUAUUAUCCCCCUCGCUACCCAGGGAUGGGACCAGAGCCUCCCUACAGAGGCCGCAUGUCUGCCUACCCUCCUCCACCUCCACCGCCCCCACCUCCGAGACGCUCAGCAUAUCCUGAUCAUGGCUAUGGUGAGCGGGAUGGUUAUGGGGUGGUUGAUUACUAUGAGAAAUACAGGGCCCGCCCAUAUGAUGACAGGCGUGCCAUCCCCCCCCCUCCGCCUCCUCCGUCGGCACUGGUUAGAGAACGUCUCGGAAUGGGGUCUCUCGACCCAUACGAGCGGCGUCCAAUUGCUCAUGCACAUGCGCCUCCCGCCUACAUGGCCAGAGACCGGAGCCCAAUCAGACGACACCCACCACCUGCUCCAUCCGCAGGUAACGGGUUCUAUGAGCGUUCCCGUCUGUCUCCAAUGUCCAGAACGCCAAUGUAUGGAGCCCCCCGUCCCAGGGACUCCUAUGCAGAAAGGGUGCCACCCCCGCCGCCCCCACCACCUCCUCGCUAUGCUGACUAUUAGGCACCCAGGAGUGUGAUACAAGUUUUUUAGAGUGUGCUGGAGGUACCAGCUCAUGGUAAGUCAUCCAUGGAAGAUGUCCAGUGUCCUGGAGAACAGGUAGAUAUUGUCAUAUUAUCAGUUAUGUCCAUUUCACUGAAUACAUGCAGUUUCUCACACUCAAUGUCAACACUAUAACCUAGAAUAUGUUCAUUAAAAAAAAAAAAGUAAAGCUUUUUGUUACUGUACUGUAACAAAAAACUUUAUUAGUGUCUUUUUUUUAGUUAGUUGAAGCAAAUCUUUAAAUAAGGUGCAGUUUCAGAGAAUUGGAUGAUUUAGUUGCUUAAUUUAGUAGUAUAUGAAUGUAGUCAUGACACAGCGGUAGGUGAUGCAUACGUGAUGGAACCUUUUUUUUUUUCCUCCUUUUAGUUUUUUUUUAAACCUUGAGUGAUGGGUUGAGUCACUGACCGUGUGACUUUAUUCCCAGGCUUGAGUGGAGAAUAAUGGGUGUUCAAGUGAUUCCACAGGAUGUUUUGAACAUCAGACAAGAUCAGGUGGAUCUGUACUAAAAGGAACUGGAACUGGUUCAGGCCUGGUGUAACGUGGCUGUGUCUCGUUGCCAUUCAGCUGAUGAACCAAGAAUAAUGUUGCCGGACUCGGUGUUCCAUCACUUGGAGUGAUUCUAAUGAACUUCUCUCAAACAUCGGCAAAUCAAAGAGACUGUGGGGGGUGGGGGGAGCAAGCUGGAUUAGUCUGUUGCAUUUGGUGUUCACUGGCCUUUUCGCUUUUGAUACGGAUGAAACCGAGAAGGCUAAAACUGUAGUGUCACCAUAAGGCUUCAGAAGGCCUUUAAUGUUGUCCUUUAAACACCAUUGUCUAAAGGCAAUUGCAAGGAAAAAAAACAAAUAAAUUAUACUUUAUAGAACAUUU